AGCGAACGCUGGCGGCAGGCUUAACACAUGCAAGUCGAACGCCCCGCAAGGGGAGUGGCAGAUGGGUGAGUAACACGUGGGAACGUACCCUUUGGUUCGGAAUAACUUGGGGAAACUCAAGCUAAUACCGGAUAAGCCCUUAUGGGGAAAGGUUUACUGCCGAAGGAUCGGCCCGCGUCUGAUUAGCUAGCUGGUGAGGUAAUGGCUCACCAAGGCGACGAUCAGUAGCUGGUCUGAGAGGAUGAUCAGCCACACUGGGACUGAGACACGGCCCAGACUCCUACGGGAGGCAGCAGUGGGGAAUAUUGGACAAUGGGGGCAACCCUGAUCCAGCCAUGCCGCGUGAGUGAUGAAGGCCUUAGGGUUGUAAAGCUCUUUUACCCGGGACGAUAAUGACUGUACCGGGAGAAUAAGCCCCGGCUAACUUCGUGCCAGCAGCCGCAGUAA
rnacentral:rRNA from 1 species